GGUAGCCGGCCUGAGAGGGUGACCGGCCACACUGGGACUGAGACACGGUCCAGACUCCUACGGGAGGCAGCAGUGGGGAAUAUUGCACAAUGGGCGCAAGCCUGAUGCAGCAACGCCGCGUGAGGGACGACGGCCUUCGGGUUGUAAACCUCUUUUAGCAGGGAAGAAGCGAAAGUGACGGUACCUGCAGAAAAAGCGCCGGCUAACUACGUGCCAGCAGCCGCGGUAAUACGUAGGGCGCAAGCGUUAUCCGGAAUUAUUGGGCGUAAAGAGCUCGUAGGCGGUUUGUCACGUCUGCUGUGAAAUCCCGAGGCUCAACCUCGGGCCUGCAGUGGGUACGGGCAGACUAGAGUGCGGUAGGGGAGAUUGGAAUUCCUGGUGUAGCGGUGGAAUGCGCAGAUAUCAGGAGGAACACCGAUGGCGAAGGCAGAUCUCUGGGCCGUAACUGACGCUGAGGAGCGAAAGGGUGGGGAGCAAACAGGCUUAGAUACCCUGGUAGUCCACCCCGUAAACGUUGGGAACUAGUUGUGGGGACCAUUCCACGGUCUCCGUGACGCAGCUAACGCAUUAAGUUCCCCGCCUGGGGAGUACGG
rnacentral:rRNA from 1 species